GCGGCUGCAGUCUUGCGUCCCGUCAGGCUCUACUUUGUUGAACACUAAGCUGGACACAUAUCUCUCCAGCGCUUCAGAGACGUCGCUGGCGCCGAAAUUCCAGCUGUUUCACCGUGGGUCGCCAGAAGUACAGCAGAUCAUUUACUGUCAAUUGUGCGACGCGACACUAUGUG